rnacentral:rRNA from 1 species
UACGUAGGGGGCAAGCGUUGUCCGGAAUUAUUGGGCGUAAAGAGCGUGUAGGCGGUCCGGUAAGUCAGCUGUGAAAGUCAAGGGCUCAACCCUUGAAUGCCGGUUGAUACUGUCGGGCUAGAGUCCGGAAGAGGCGAGUGGAAUUCCCGGUGUAGCGGCGAAAUGCGCAGAUAUCGGGAGGAACACCAAUGGCGAAGGCAGCUCGCUGGGACGGUACUGACGCUGAGACGCGAAAGCGUGGGGAGCAAACAGG